rnacentral:tRNA from 1 species
AUAGCUCAGUUGGCUAGAGCGCCUCCUUGCCAAGGAGGAGGUCGAGGGUUCGAAUCCCUUU